AACGAACGCUGGCGGCAGGCUUAACACAUGCAAGUCGAGCGCCCCGCCAGGGGAGCGGCAGCCGGGUGAGUAACGCGUGGGGACGUACCUUUUGGUUCGUAACAACUCCGGGAAACUGGAGCUAAUACCGGAUAAGCCCUAACGGGGAAAGAUUUAUCGCCGAAAGAUCGGCCCGCGUCUGAUUAGCUAGUUGGUGAGGUAACGGCUCACCAAGGCGACGAUCAGUAGCUGGUCUGAGAGGAUGAUCAGCCACACUGGGACUGAGACACGGCCCAGACUCCUACGGGAGGCAGCAGUGGGGAAUAUUGGACAAUGGGGGCAAGCCUGAUCCAGCCAUGCCGCGUGAGUGAUGAAGGCCUUAGGGUUGUAAAGCUCUUUUGUCCGGGAAGAUAAUGACUGUACCGGAAGAAUAAGCCCCGGCUAACUUCGUG
rnacentral:rRNA from 1 species